AGUUUUGAUCCUGGCUCAGAACGAACGCUGGCGGCAUGCCUAACACAUGCAAGUCGAACGAGACCUUCGGGUCUAGUGGCGCACGGGUGCGUAACGCGUGGGAAUCUGCCCUUGGGUUCGGAAUAACACUUAGAAAUUUGUGCUAAUACCGGAUGAUGACGAAAGCCCAAAGAUUUAUCGCCCAGGGAUGAGCCCGCGUAGGAUUAGCUAGUUGGUGAGGUAAAGGCUCACCAAGGCGACGAUCCUUAGCUGGUCUGAGAGGAUGAUCAGCCACACUGGGACUGAGACACGGCCCAGACUCCUACGGGAGGCAGCAGUGGGGAAUAUUGGACAAUGGGCGAAAGCCUGAUCCAGCAAUGCCGCGUGAGUGAUGAAGGCCUUAGGGUUGUAAAGCUCUUUUACCCGGGAUGAUAAUGACUGUACCGGGAGAAUAAGCCCCGGCUAACUCCGUGCCAGCAGCCGCGGUAAU
rnacentral:rRNA from 1 species